UGGAGUUCAUAAUGCUUUCUCUAUCUUUCUCACAGAUUUGUUUUGAGUAUCAAAUGAAGGACUGGAUAUAAAAGUGCACUGAAAUUGUUAAGUGCUAUAUUGUUAGGAGCUAAGAUACUGCUGCUGCUGAUUAUUCAAAGGACUAUGGAGCUCCAGAAAGGGCAGAGAACUCUAGCUAAGACAACCAGAAGCCUCUCAAUGGCUCUGAGGCUUGGAUCUUCUCAGAAGGAAGGAGGAGAGUAGAAGUUUAGCUUUUCCAUUUGAUAACUUCCUGGAACAAAGCUGGAUCCCCCUGAUGAAGAAACUGAGGCACAGAAAAAUUAGAUGACUUGCUCGGAGUCACGCAAUGUGGAUUUGACUGGAUUCAGCUGGAUUGAACUCAAGUCUUGCUGACAUCAAGUCCGAUGCUCUAACCACUGUGCAACCCAGCUGCCUUUCUAAGUUUUGCCUUUGCUGUAAGAAUAUAGGAUGAAAAAAAGAAAAAUGAAUACAGCCCAGGACUGGAAAUAAAAAAAAGCAUGGGUUUUAUUUGAGCAAGUAAUUUAACAGCUCUCUUUCUCAGUUUCUUCUAGCUGUAAAAUGAGAUUAAUAGGACCUUCCCUACCUCAGUCACAUGAGGCUCCAACAAGAUAAUAGAAACGAAUAUGUUUUGAAAAUUUCAUAGCAUUGUACACAUUCUAUUAGGUUUUGUACCUCCUUUUCCAUUUGGCCCAUUUUACUUUUUAAGGACUUGUUUUCUACAG